UGGUUUCAUGAUUUUGAAAAUUGAGAUACACAUUAUUUACUUAUUUAAAACAUUUAUCUUCCACCCUUCUCACCCCAAAAGGGACUCAGGGCAGAGCACAACAUAUAUACAGCAAGCCUCAUUGCACUGCCCCAAAGGCUUGGUCCCACAACCAGGUCUUUACUAUUUUUCUAAAGGACAGGAGAGAGGAGGCUGAUCUAAUCUCAUCAGGGAGGGAGUUCCAUAACCAGGGGGCAAUCACUGAGAAGGCCCUGUGUCUCGUCCCUGCCAAUUGCGCUUGUGACGGUGGCGGGACCAAGAGCAGGACCUCCCCAGAUGAUCGUAAUCUUUGUGGUGGUUCAUAAAGGGAGAUGCGUUCAAACAGAUAAACUGGGCCAUGGCAUUCGACUUGAUGGUGCAUUAGAAUCAAGUAAAUACAGGUAAUCUUUUGGCUUUUUCGCCAUCAUACACAUGUACACCUUCCUAUGCAAAAGAAUAUGCAAAAGAAACAUAACAAAAUACAAAGUGAGUUUUCCAAAUUUCUAUUGAUUUGUAGUUUCAGACUAUUCAACCUCAUCUUUAUCAACUGUGGCAAUCUUCCAAUUUUUAUUCUAUGUUCUUCAUUCUCACUUUGAACUAGGAGAAAGGUUUAUUUUAAAGCUUCUGAAUAUCUUAUUUAUGUGUGAGGUAUUUUUGUUAGAUCAGAAAAAGCUUUUGUAUAAAAUAAGUGUUCAGAAUUGACAAAAUGCAUGAAAUGAUUUCACAGCAGUUGGUACAUUAUCCAUUUUCCAAUAGUUCUUGCAUUUCCUUGUCUAUGUAAUUGCAAUCCAUUCUGCCAAUUUGCAGUUUGGAUUGGGGGGGGGGUGUUUUAAAGCAAGAUUUUGUAUUCUGUAGAGGUACAGUUUCAGUUCUGGUCUAUGGCUCUUGUGAUUUAAAAGAAAAAAAGAAACUGAACUGGCCAAGAAAUUGAGUUAUAACAACCAAGAAAGGGGAGUGAUACACACAAAAAAAGAAAAAAAAUUAAAAUUAGUAUUAGAAGUGACUACAAAAGUACAAAUAUGUAAUAUUAAAAGGCAACAUAGACUUCACAGCUAUCUUGAAAGUCUAAUGGAGCAAAGAGAAAAACAAUAACGCUAUACAUCAAACUCAAGGAUAAUUGGCCAAAUCUGGCCUGCCAUGUCAUUUUAUGUGGCCCUCCAUAUGUAGGACUGCAAUGUCUACAUUCCUCAUUAUUAGGCACUGUAACAUCUGGAAGGCUGCAGUUUGUCCUAUUUAGUCAGGAUAGUAGUUUGAACUUAAAUACAAAGCUUGUGGAGAUGAUUUAUGACUUUAAAAUGCUCUUUACCCUUUUCCCAGCCUCAGAGCCAUAAGUGCUGUUGGGCUGUAAUUACCUGGGAGUAAGUCCAAUUCAAUUCAACAGAAAUUACUCUUGUGGGUUUGCCCAUGACUGCACAAAUACCGAUAAGCAUCUUGAGAUACAAAUAAUUAUCUGAUGGAGCAGCAAUGUUGAAAUUGAAAGUGUUUCUUUUUACACCAUUGUGUGGAGGAAAUACUGGGUCAGACUCACUGUUCUUGCCACUGUUUUCUUUCACUGUCCAUACAUGGACAGAUGUUCCCUCAAGGAAUGAAUGAAUGAAUUAGAUGGGACCAGAAAGCAGAGUCCCACACUGCCUACCAUAGAAACGCUUGUAUUCAGCUCCCUGCCUCAUCCCAAUGUGCCACGAGGAUCCGAGAGACAUAAUUCCAAAAACUGUCCCAUGGACCUCAACAUAUGCAUAUCAAUCAAAAUCAAUUGAAAAUAUCUUUCUUUUGAAUUUUUUUCUUCUUAAUCCCUAUACAUAUUUUUGUUAAUCCUAUUUUCAUAGGCCCUAAAUUUUUGAAGGCUCAAGGCAGUGUGCCGGAAGUGACUGCAUAUGGCCACUGUGUAGUCACUCAACAGCUCUAAAACUUAGCAGUGGAAAUCUCAGUAGAAUUUCUGUCUUCACUGUAAAUAAACUUUAAGUUGUGGCAGAACAAAUGCACAUUUGAAUGUCACAGCAAGCUGGGGGUGCAACAGUUUUCCAGUAUGCUAAAAGUAGGUCAGCAUGCUGGUGCAGAAAGACUGCCUGUAAGAAAUUUGAGAUCUUCAGAGCAGGUCCAAGGUUGUAUCUCAACAUCUAAUGAAGUUAGGUUGCUGGUUAUCUAUAACAGGGCUUUCUCUGAAGCAGCAUCUCAACUGUGGAUCUUCCUACACAACGUUAGGUUGAUCCUAUCUUUCAAGCUUCCUUGGGCAGCCAAAUCAAUGUUGUUCCACACAGCAUUAAAUUUUUGAAAUGACUGUUUUAAAACUGGAUUUUAUAAUUGCUUAGGAGAUUUUAAAUAAUAUUUUAAUAUGUUUUUAAAAUGUUUUAUAUUUGUAUUGUUUUAAUAGGUUUUUAUUUGUUUAGCCAAGGCCAGGGCUAGCUGGGGCUGCAGCUAGCACAGCAGAUUAAACCACCAGCUACAGAAGAUCUUGCCGACCAGAAAGUUGGCAGUUCAAGCUGCAGGUCAGGCUUGACCUUGCUUUCUGGGAAACGCAAUGAUAUUCAGAUUCUCCCCUAAUUAAGCAUGAGUGACAAGAAGCACACUUUUUUGAAGAAGAGUCAAUUACCGAAGGCGGUCUUCUUGUUCUGCUAGAUCUCUGGUUCCGUGGUUUUACUAAAAGCUUGUGCUUUGCGGCCGAAUUAUCCAAGCAAGAAGAGGACUCAGGUGGAGUGUCAAAAUCAGCAGGAGGCGAGAGACUGCAAUCAGAUGUUCUCAGUGUUAUAAUUUUAGAAUUUGGCUCCUGGGGAAAUAGAUGGCUUUCUGCAGAAUGAAAUCCCAGAGGACUUGAUAUAACCUAAGCAAGAAGCCCCAAAAAAGGAGACAAAAGUGUCAAAACAUAUGAGCAAAAUAAAACAUGGGUGUUUCUAACAAAUAUUAAAAAUCUAUUUUUAUCAGCACUGGAAUUACAAUGUAUUGCCAAUGAAACCUCCAUUUGUCACUGUUGCUUCACACACACACCCUACUUUUUCUCUUAUUCAGGGGUUAAUGCAGGCAUGGGCAAACUUGGGCCCUGCAGGUGUUUUGGACUUCAACUCCCACCAUUCCUAACAGCCUCAGGCCGAUAAUCGGCUGAGGGGGAAAAGGAAGGGGCCUGAGGCUGUCAGGAAUGGUGGGAGUUGAAGUCCAAAACACCCGGAAGGCCCAAGUUUGCCCACACCUGGGUUAAUGUCUAAAUUGGAAGUAAACACAUACUUUGUAACUAGCUAUUAAAAGUAUCCUUUGGGUUCCAUGAAUACAAAUCAGGAAGUGAUGUUAGUAGCUUCUGAUCUGUGUGAACAUGGACCAAAAUAAACUGGUUUGAACAAGUAAAGCCACAUUUAAAAAAUGACAGGGUAUUUGGUGGAACACAGCAUGAAGGAAAACCAUGUAUUAUGUUUGCAAAGCAAAUAAGAAACUAAGUUAACAAGGCAGUUAGCACACAUUUAGAAGUUACAGGCCCAAAUAAAUACCCUUAAAUAAAUACUCUUGGAAGCUAAGCAGAGCUGGCCCUAGUUAGUUCUUGGAUGGGAAACUAUGAACGAACACCAGGUGCUGUGGGCUAUAUUUCAAAGGACGGAACUGGCAAAACCACCUCCUGCAGGAAUCAUAUGCUGACAGGUGAAUUGAAGGCACAUAAAUACCUAAUAAUGAAGAACUUGCAUAUUUAGAUUUUAAAAGACGGAAGGCCAGAUCCUCUUAUUUUGAAAAAGUGAGUUUAUAUCCACACAGUUUCAGUUACUGGGUUGCUGUGAGUUUUCUGGGCUAUAUGGCCAUGUUCCAGAAGUAUUAUCUCCAGACGUUUCACCCACAUCUAUGGCAGGCAUCCUCAGAGGUUGUGAGGUCUGUUGGAAAACUAGGCUCUUGUCUGUUUGAGGCAAGAGUCAAUGUUGCAAUUGAUCACCAGUGGGCCCGGGCUGUGGCGCAGGCUGAGAGCAAGCCAGCUGAAUCCAGCUGCAAUGAAUCACUCUGACCAGGAGAUCAUGAGUUCGAGGCCCGCUCGGAGCCUAUGUUUGUCUUGUCUUUGUUCUAUGUUAAAAGGCAUUGAAUGUUUGCCUAUUUGUGUAAUGUGAUCCGCCCUGAGUCCCCUUCGGGGUGAGAAGGGCGGAAUAUAAAUGCUGUAAAUAAAUAAAUAAAUAAAUUAGCAUUGGAUAGCCUCA